CGCAAACGACAAUAAUUAUACAUUAAUAAAAAUUAAGAAUUAUGGUGGAUUGAUAAUACCAUCCCAAAGCGUGUCAAAUUUAUGCAAAAUAACAGAGAGCUCAUUCAGGGCUUUUGAAAAAAUACCUGCACAUAAGAAUGCAUCAUUUUGGUAAUAAAGUAAAUCAAAAAUUACAAUUAAAUAUCAGGCAAAAACUAAACAAGGCUGUACUUUUUCAAGGGCAAUAAACCAAGUGAAGAACAAAUUAUCUGAAAAUUUCUAAUGACUUUAUUGGUUAUAAUAAAUUAAUUUUAUUAGACAUAAAUAUAACAUAUAUAUAUUAUUUGUAUUUAUUAUUGAUUUAUAAGAUUAAUAUUUUCUUUUCGCG